rnacentral:rRNA from 1 species
AGAGUUUGAUCAUGGCUCAGAAUAAACGCUGGCGGCGUGCCUAACACAUGCAAGUCGAGCGUGAAUAAAGCGGCGAACGGGUGAGUAACGCGUAGGAAUCUGCCUUUCAGUGAGGAAUACCCUCGAGAAAUCGAGGUUAAUACUGCAUACGUCUUGAAAAAGAGAAAGAUGGCUUUUAUGCUGUCGCUGAAAGAUGAGCCUGCGUACUAUUAGCUAGUUGGUGGGGUAAUGGCUUACCAAGGCGAUGAUGGUUAGCCGGCCUGAGAGGGUGUACGGCCACACUGGAACUUAGACACGGUCCAGACUCCUACGGGAGGCAGCAGUGAGGAAUAUUGCGCAAUGGGCGAAAGCCUGACGCAGCGACGCCGCGUGGAGGAUGAAGGUCUUAGGAUUGUAAACUUCUGUUAAGUGGGAAGAAAGGCAAAGUUUGAUAACGACUUUGAGAUGACGGUACCAUUAGAGAAAGCACCGGCUAACUUCGUGCCAGCAGCCGCGGUAAUACGAAGGGUGCGAGCGUUAUUCGGAAUUAUUGGGCGUAUAGGGUGCGCAGGCGGUAUGUUAAGUCAACUGUUAAAUACCUCAGCCUAACUGAGGAUCGGCGGUAGAUACUGGCGUACUAGAGGAUGGAAGAGAGAAGUGGAAUUCUUGGAGUAGCGGUAAAAUGCGUAGAUCUCAAGAGGAACACCGAUGGCGAAGGCAGCUUCUUGGUCCAUAUCUGACGCUCAUGCACGAAAGCGUGGGGAGCAAACAGGAUUAGAUACCCUGGUAGUCCACGCUGUAAACGAUGAUCACUAGACGUUAGUCUCGCUUUGCGAGAUUGGUGUCGUAGCUAACGCGUUAAGUGAUCCGCCUGGGGACUACGGUCGCA